rnacentral:rRNA from 1 species
CCAGAAUUCGUGAUUACUCCUACGGGAGGCAGCAGUGGGGAAUUUUCCGCAAUGGGCGAAAGCCUGACGGAGCAACGCCGCGUGAGGGACGAAGGCCUCUGGGCUGUAAACCUCUUUUCUCAAGGAAGAAGAUAUGACGGUACUUGAGGAAUAAGCCACGGCUAAUUCCGUGCCAGCAGCCGCGGUAAUACGGGAGUGGCAAGCGUUAUCCGGAAUUAUUGGGCGUAAAGCGUCCGCAGGCGGCUUUUCAAGUCUGCUGUUAAAGCGUGGAGCUUAACUCCAUCAUGGCAGUGGAAACUGAAAGGCUUGAGUAUGGUAGGGGCAGAGGGAAUUCCCGGUGUAGCGGUGAAAUGCGUAGAUAUCGGGAAGAACACCAGUGGCGAAGGCGCUCUGCUGGGCCAUUACUGACGCUCAUGGACGAAAGCCAGGGGAGCGAAAGGGAUUAGAUACCCCUGUAGUCCUGGCCGUAAACGAUGAACACUAGGUGUCGGGGGAAUCGACCCCCUCGGUGUCGUAGCUAACGCGUUAAGUGUUCCGCCUGGGGAGUACGCACGCAAGUGUGAAACUCAAAGGAAUUGACGGA